rnacentral:rRNA from 1 species
GUGAACGCUGGCGGUAGGCCUAACACAUGCAAGUCGAACGGCAGCACAGUAAGAGCUUGCUCUUACGGGUGGCGAGUGGCGGACGGGUGAGGAAUACAUCGGAAUCUACUUUUUUGUGGGGGAUAACGUAAGGAAACUUACGCUAAUACCGCAUACGACCUACGGGUGAAAGCAGGGGAUCUUCGGACCUUGCGCGAUUGAAUGAGCCGAUGUCGGAUUAGCUAGUUGGCGGGGUAAAGGCCCACCAAGGCGACGAUCCGUAGCUGGUCUGAGAGGAUGAUCAGCCACACUGGAACUGAGACACGGUCCAGACUCCUACGGGAGGCAGCAGUGGGGAAUAUUGGACAAUGGGCGCAAGCCUGAUCCAGCCAUACCGCGUGGGUGAAGAAGGCCUUCGGGUUGUAAAGCCCUUUUGUUGGGAAAGAAAAGCAGCAGGUUAAUACCCCGCUGUUCUGACGGUACCCAAAGAAUAAGCACCGGCUAACUUCGUG